GCCUACGGGAGGCAGCAGUGGGGAAUUGUUCACAAUGGGCGCAAGCCUGAUGACGCAACGCCGCGUGGAGGAUGAAGGUCUUCGGAUUGUAAACUCCUGUUGCUCGGGAAGAACGGCUCCGACCUAACACGUCGGAGUUUGACGGUACCGGGUGAGGAAGCCCCGGCUAACUCUGUGCCAGCAGCCGCGGUAA
rnacentral:rRNA from 1 species